UACGUAGGUGGCAAGCGUUGUCCGGAAUUAUUGGGCGUAAAGCGCGCGCAGGCGGCCUUUUAAGUCUGAUGUGAAAGCCCACGGCUCAACCGUGGAAGGUCAUUGGAAACUGAAAGGCUUGAGUACAGAAGAGGAAAGCGGAAUUCCACGUGUAGCGGUGAAAUGCGUAGAGAUGUGGAGGAACACCAGUGGCGAAGGCGGCUUUCUGGUCUGUAACUGACGCUGAGGUGCGAAAGCGUGGGGAGCAAACAGG
rnacentral:rRNA from 1 species